rnacentral:rRNA from 1 species
AUUGAACGCUGGCGGCAUGCCUUACACAUGCAAGUCGAACGGCAGCACGGACUUCGGUCUGGUGGCGAGUGGCGAACGGGUGAGUAAUGUAUCGGAACGUACCUUUCAGUGGGGGAUAACGUAGCGAAAGUUACGCUAAUACCGCAUAUUCUGUGAGCAGGAAAGCAGGGGAUCGCAAGACCUUGCGCUGAUUGAGCGGCCGAUAUCAGAUUAGCUAGUUGGUGGGUAAAGGCCUACCAAGGCUACGAUCUGUAGCGGGUCUGAGAGGAUGAUCCGCCACACUGGAACUGAGACACGGUCCAGACUCCUACGGGAGGCAGCAGUGGGGAAUUUUGGACAAUGGGGGCAACCCUGAUCCAGCCAUGCCGCGUGAGUGAAGAAGGCC